AUGUGCUUCCUUCUUCAAUCCACACUAAGAUCCCCGGAAAAUGAAAGCGCUUCCUCCGCGACCUCUUUGUGUAGAGCUAGUGAGACCCCAGAACCUCUCCGACCCUGGGUACGAACCCCAACGCCAGCAUCCCCCGGCGGACACCCCCGGUUCCCACGUCUGCAGGACAAAAGGCAGCUGUGCCGCCUCGUGCGCUCUCCCAGUGGGCUGCAUGCCCAGGACACAGUGACUCUGAUCCUGAUGCUUCUUGAGAAGGAACAAGGCAGAUAUGGCACCCAGAUUGAUUUCAUCCUGCAGCUGUAUGCAGCAUCAUUCGAAAAAACCUUUGAUGGGGAAGAGGGCAGUGAGUUUCAUAUUGAGGGGUUUAGAUCUCCAUCCAAAGGAGUCAGAGGCCUCAUAUUCCAGGAGGUUAUGAGAAUGUAAGUAAAGUAUUGCUGGAUCUGACAAAGAUUAUAACCAUAGAAUUGGAUGAGAAAGAAGCCUUUCAAGAGAUUUUGUAUCUACUUAAGUAAAGAACUCUAAAGAGUGGUAAUUAAAGAUUUCGUUUCCAUUGUCUCUCUCUUUUUCCUUUUUCCUUGUGAAAUAGAGAAACAGAAAAAAAAUUUGUUCCUUUGUAAAAUUCUCAACUAAUGAAA
rnacentral:lncRNA from 1 species